rnacentral:siRNA from 1 species
AAGUCUGACUCUUUUUCCGCCAAA